GAAGCACUUUCGUAGAAGCACUUGGCCACAGAACAAGUGAAAAGAGGGUUACACAGACCACUGGAGGUUACUUUAUACCAUGGCAUUUGUGGAAUAUUCAAGUACACUGGAAGAACAUCCUUGAAUGCUUUACCAAUGGGAGAAGAGUUAAAGAGACUUUGAGGAGCAGUUAAAACAAACAAAACAAAGCAAACAACAAUAAACAAUAAAACAUGUCCAGAUUUUGAUAAUAUCACAUUUUUUCACGACUCAGAUCUACACUUGGAGUUCCAUAUGCUGGAAAUAUGGGUUGCAUUGCCACCAGCAACAUGAUUUGGGAAAUGGAGGAUGAGAAACAACAAAUAAAGCAGCAGAAAACUUA